CAGCAGCCGCGGGAAUACGUAGGGUGCAAGCGUUAAUCGGAAUUACUGGGCGUAAAGCGUGCGCAGGCGGUUUUGUAAGACAGAGGUGAAAUCCCCGGGCUCAACCUGGGAACUGCCUUUGUGACUGCAAGGCUAGAGUACGGCAGAGGGGGAUGGAAUUCCGCGUGUAGCAGUGAAAUGCGUAGAUAUGCGGAGGAACACCGAUGGCGAAGGCAAUCCCCUGGGCCUGUACUGACGCUCAUGCACGAAAGCGUGGGGAGCAAACAGGAUCAGAUACCCCAGUAGUCCCUGUCUCUUAUAA
rnacentral:rRNA from 1 species